AUAUCACGGAAAAAAAAAGAAAAAAAAAACACCUUGAUUAAAGGCUAGUACCGGCUGUACUGGUUGUACAUCCCUUUAACUCGGGGUUGGGGAGAUUUUGUCCCCCAUACGUCGAACUGUGUACAAGCUACUUCUUUUCUCCUUCAGCCCCGUUAACUUCCAAUAAGGGGACAGAAUCUGCGGCGGACAUAUAGUAGCGUUGACCGUGGGUUGCGUUGUACACAGUUGAAUGACACAAUUGAAGGUACAAUUGACUGCCUUUUCUGCCCGUUUCUUUGGAGGUUUAUUCACACACAACAAGUCAUAAAAUUACACGAAACAGAACCGUAAGCCAGAGAGCGCCCUCUCCGGCGAGCAGACACGAUCGGCAUGUCUGGGCCACCAGUGAUGUUCCGACCGAAGGGGUGUCGUCCCGGCGCCCCCUACUGGUCGAACAGCACCGCCGCUAUAAUAUUUCACUUUUACCACUGUACACAGCGCCCUGUACCCGCUUUCGGCUGUACAGCAAUGAAAUAGUGGACCCUAAUACUAUUAUUCCUUCUUUCGUAAGGAAGCUAAGCAAAGUUGUUCUUUGAUUAUAGGACCAAUGUAAACCAGCUUCUGAGCUUAUUUGUGUACCCGGUAUAAAUACUAUUCAAUAAAUAAAAAUUACUAAGAACAGAGAGAAACAUAAGAAACAAGGCAACGGGAGAUUUUUUUCUGAAAAUGAAUGCAUGUAUUUUCUAAAAUGAAACAAUUCUCUCGCACACUCAAUAUACUUUACACAUAAAUGAAAAUAAUAAUACAGGAAGGGCCUACGGCGUUACAAACUGAACUGGACACUUAAAGUGCUUAACAACUUUAAACCCGAAAGAGAGUUUUAACGAAGAUUUUCAGAAUGGUGUAAUUUGAAGGAGUUAAGACUUCAAUAUGUUUGUGAUACAUUAGAAGGCGCCACUAGACAAUUAAAAACAAGUACAAUUCUUGUUUUUUAUGUCUGAAAAUGGCCAACGAAACUUUUUAAACACUCUUGGGAAUUGUUAAGUGGGUGAGAAAAAGACAUGCCUCCGGCGUUUGGAAGGAAAUAAACUGUUGAGUGGUUGUUUGUGUUUGUGUUGGCAAAACAACAAAAACGAGAUCAAAAUACUUGGGAUGUGUUCCCAGUGUCACAAAAUUUAAUCAAAGUACAAUUUAAAUUAACGUUGCUAUUUUACCUUCAAAAUACUUAUUACUGUCACAUUUAAAUGUUUCAUAAUUCUCCACCGAGUGUUUGUUUCAUUUCACCGUAACAAUUGUUCCUUUUGUUGUUAUUGUUUAUUUUUGAGACAAUUUAAUUUCACUUGAAAUUAAUUCACACAGUGCUCACAUGGCUUUGAAAAGGGUUCUUUUAAAUGCCGAAAAACCAGUUACGCAAAACAGCUGUCCAUUAUAUUAAUCCAACAAAACACUUUUAAAUCAAAAAUAUAAACCAACAUAGUACACGCUUCACUGUCUAGACUACAAGUACCACAGAUUAAUUAACAA